rnacentral:rRNA from 1 species
UACGGGGGGAGCAAGCGUUGUUCGGAUUUACUGGGCGUAAAGGGCGCGUAGGCGGUCAGCGCAAGUCAGUUGUGAAAUCUCCGGGCUUAACUCGGAAAGGUCAACUGAUACUGUGCGACUAGAGUGCAGAAGGGGCAACUGGAAUUCUCGGUGUAGCGGUGAAAUGCGUAGAUAUCGAGAGGAACACCUGCGGCGAAGGCGGGUUGCUGGGCUGACACUGACGCUGAGGCGCGAAAGCCAGGGGAGCGAACGGG